CUCCCAAGAUUCAGCUGUCCAAAGGGCAGGUCCCUGUUCUCAGUAGGUGAGGGAAUAAAACUUGGACACUGGGCCAUCUCAGAACACAUUUCAGCCGCACACAAGGGAUCUGGAGACCAGAUCCCUUUCUUCCUGGUUUGAUGAUUGGUGGGGUCUUCCUCUGAGCAUCCUGAACAUAUUCAUUUAAUAAGUAUUUAUUGAGCACCUGCUGUGUGCCAGGCACUGUUUGAUGUGCUGCAGAAUAGAACAGCGAAUAAGAGACAAAAGUUUCCACCCUCGUGGAGCUUAUAUUCUAGUGCUUUAUGUUGAACAGUAAGUGUGGAAGAGAAAUAAUAAAGCGGAAUGGUAUUAUGGAAUAUCAGGGUAAGGAUGAGGUCAGUUUUGAAUAAAGACCUGAAGCAAGGUCACUGGCAGUGAUAUUUUGGGGAAGAACAUUCCAAGCAGAGGUCAUGGCUUGUGUGUGGUGCACGUGUUAGAGGAACAGCAUGGGCUGGUAUCGCUGCAGUGGAAUGCACCAGAGUCCAAGCACGGAGGUGAGUUUAGAAAGGCAUAUAGGAGAUUCGUAGAUCACAGCAAAUGGUCUGAGUGAAAUUCACCCACCAGGGAGUCUUACAUAGGCUACCAACCACUGGUCCUUAGGAAUUAGCCCCCUUUCAGCCCCUUCAAAUUGCUGUCAGAAGGAAUGAGGUGUAACUGCAUGAGAUUUGUGAAUCAUCAGCCUCUCUGUGGUGCUGAAACCCUCCAGUGGACCAUCUCUGGGAAGGCUGCAGAGAGGGACAAGGAAAGGGCCCCAGGGCAGGUGCACGAAGAGACUUCAAGGAGUAGAGUGGCUCUCUAAACCUAAGGUUCCAGGCACUAGGAGCAAGUGAGGGAUCCAGCCCAGGGAAGGGAGAACCCUCCCCCCAACCAGGUAUGUAAUACCUGAGAGCCUGCCCAAGGCUUGGCUUCAGCUGCCUCCUGCAGCUCGCAUCCUCUCCCUUCCUCCUCUGUGCCCUGCAUUCCAGUAGGUACUUGGCGGCUACGGUAGCAGCGUGGCCUUCCCUGGGGACUGAGAUGCUAUUAACUCGGGAACUGCCCAAGCACGGAGGGUGAAGCCACAUCAGUGACCCUCAGUUUAAUGCCGCUGUGUUCCUCCUGUGUCCCUGGAUUGGGGUAGGGGGUGCUGAGAUGUCACUAGUGGUAAAUGUGUGUUGAGGGGAGGAGGGAGGAGGGAAGAUGGGCUAGUGGAGGGUACAGGGGAGAAGAAGGAGGAGGGCAAGGACGCAUCAGCAUAGAGGGGACUUGGAGCCAAGUUUAUGGUAAGGUGGAGGGCCUAGGCUUCCGCACAUGCUUGGACUUCAGGCUGGAGUCCCUGAGCCUCAGCCCCCUCCCCUCUUCUUCCUCCUUGAAGGCCUACAGAGCUAUGGGCUGGAAACCCCCAGGUGGUACAGAUCAGAUCUGAGCCAGUCUCUCCUGGACUUUUUUCAUCCAAGUCCAUAUCUGUUUUUCUCAUGAACCCGGAAACCCUUUGAAGGCAGGAACAAGGUCCUCCAGUCUUUCACUACCAGCUCCUACUCCAGGGCCAGCACACCGUGGGUGCUGAAACUCACAGAUGACCUUCCAAGUGGCAGACCCUGGCAAGACACUGGGUGUGCUAUACUGGGAUGAGCAAGAUACAGAUCCUCUGUCCUUCCUGCCUGGGCAAUGGAGGCCCAGCAACAACUGCCCCAUCCACAAGAAGAGAAGCCCAACAACUCCUCUGUCCUGGUUAACUCCGGGAUAGAGUAACUCCGAUAUCCUGGUUUGUACCCAACCUGGGAGCUUUUAUUUACAGAAAGGCCUGGGCGGAUCUGGGGAGAAAGGGGUGGGGAGUUAUGUGAGAAAGAGAAGGGAGUUGAUGUUUAAAUACUCAGUUGGGAGGCAGGAAAGGAAGUAAUGGGGCUGGCUUAAGGGUAUAGCCGCCUCAGGGUGGUCACCCAGCAGCAGUCACCUGAUAGGUCAGAGAGGGAGAUGGGCUCAGGAACUGGCAGAGACCUCAGUCAUUAAUCCUCGAGCUGAGGGGUGGAACUGUAGCUGGGCAGGGCCCAGGCCUCCCGGGGUGCCC